GCAGUCGCCGCUCAAUUUAUUGGGGGGAGGAAAGUCCGGGCUUCGCAGGGUAAAGUGCCAGGUAACGCCUGGGGGGCGUGAGCCUACGGAAAGUGCAGCAGAAAAUACACCGCCUAAGCAGUUUACUGCCGGUAAGGUUGAAAUGGUGCGGUAAGAGCGCACCGCGCGACUGGUAACAGUUCGUGGCUAGGUAAACCCCACUUGAAGCAAGACCAAAUAGGAACUCUUUGGCGUGACCCGCGCUGAGUUCGGGUAGGUUGCUAAAGAC
rnacentral:ribozyme from 1 species